GGAAGCUAUGGACAGAUCCAAUGAAGUUAAACUUCUACUGAAAAAAUGGGAGACUGCAUUUUAUCAGGUGCACCAGAGGAGACCAAGCAAGGCUGAUGUUGUGGAGGCUCCUGAAGAAAUCAAAAAACUGUACAGAGAGUACAAGACACUGAAGGAAACCAAGAGCCGUCACGGCCUCCCUGACCCUGAGACAGUCUGCC